rnacentral:rRNA from 1 species
CAGCAGUAGCCGCGGUAAUACAGAGGGUGCGAGCGUUAAUCGGAUUUACUGGGCGUAAAGCGUGCGUAGGCGGCUUCUUAAGUCGGAUGUGAAAUCCCUGAGCUUAACUUAGGAAUUGCAUUCGAUACUGGGAAGCUAGAGUAUGGGAGAGGAUGGUAGAAUUCCAGGUGUAGCGGUGAAAUGCGUAGAGAUCUGGAGGAAUACCGAUGUCGAAGGCAGCCAUCUGGCCUAAUACUGACGCUGAGGUACGAAAGCAUGGGGAGCAAACAGGAUUAGAUACCCCUGUAGUCCCUGUCUCUUAUAC